CUGCCAUUUCAUCAAAUCUCAGGGAGUAGGCAUUGCAUCAGGAAGAGCAGAUUCUCAUCAGGUUCCCUCAGUCUGAUAUCAAAUUUGGUUAUUUCGGACAUCUCAUUGUCUGUGGAUCAGGAGAUGGAUGCCAGUCUAUCAAUUCCUCUCUCAUUUACACCAAAGGAAUUUGAAGUACUAUGUUUCUCAUGGAGGAAAAAUGUGAUUUGAGAAUUCCUUUGCCUAUUCUGGCCCAACAGAAUUCCACUUGAUAAAUCUCUGGGCAGAGUCACAAACCUGUAUUUUUAUUUCUGUAGAUUUUUUUAUCACCAGAAAGUCGUGGGAAGUUGGUUGGGGGGUGGUGGUGAACAGCAGUUCUUUUGUUCCAGUCUUAAAAGGAAGUUGGAAAUCAACUUUUCAAGAUACCUCACUUCGUAUAAAAUCCACCGGAAGUAUGAAUUCUGAGAGCCGUGUCAGCCUGAGGACUCAGAACACCACAACCACGGAGGAGGCUUUCCAGGUGUGAAAUUGAGAAGAGCUGAUCAACAACUUUUUUUACUAAGGGCUUGAGCCACACAGGGAGGAUGAAGAAUUCCUGGAGGAGGGAGACUGCGUGUGUUUAUUGCCCUGUCAGCCCUUCACGACAAAAGACAAAAGUUGCUGUAAUUUGCGAGUUCCCACGCACAUGAUCCAUAUGGACAAUAUCGAGUAUAGGUGGUGAUGAAAAAAAAAGGAUUACCAGAAAUCAAGAUGCCAGCUGCCUUGUGAGAAAUGCGGAGAAACGCUCUCACAGUGAACCUCUGAUUAAACAUCACCAUUCCAGAGCUGGAAGGAAUUUUGAGAUGUUAUCCAUAACCAGAGGAAUAAAGAGCCACCAGCUCUUGACUGAUUCAGGCCUUGUGUUGCGUUGGAUCUUGAGCCUGACUGCUUUUCUUUUCAAGCUCAGCAGUCUCUGUUGCCUUAGCAGGUUUCUCACGGCAAUGCCUGUCUGGGGGACCAUGAUCUCCCUUUUCCUCAGCACAUUUAUUUAUAGCUCAGUUUCAGCACCGUUCUUAGCUUAUGAUCAGUGCCAAUUCUAGUUCAUCUCCACAGGGUCAGACUGAAACCUCUAAAAUGUUCUGCCAGUUGGUUCCUGGUUGUUUUUCUGGAAGCUUGCAGCUCUGAAAGCUUUGUACCUCAGAAACAUGCCCUGUAUCCAAGAAACACACCCCUUGAAAGAAGGGCAAAAUGAUAGAGAGUCAGCACAUCCCUGGGUGGGCUGGCAAACGGGGGUCUGUUGAGGGGCACUGUGGGUCCCUUAUGGCCCUGCCACAUGCUGCCAUAUGGUUUGACCGGUGCUACCUGCCAGUCUCACACCAGUCUUUGAUGGCAAGAUGGCAACGGGACCGCAGUGAGGGCUGACUGGAGAAUAAAUGCAAGUAGGAUGGAUGGUUUCCACAGGCCUUGAGAAACAGCACUCAAGGACAUGCCCAAACCACCCCAGCAAAGGGACACGACAUUGCUAGAUGAGAGUGAGGAAUGACAGCACAGUGGGUAGCCUCAAACGGCCUGGCUCAUUCUGAGUAAUGGGACAAGGCAACCAUGGGUAGGUCAUGAAUAGCAGGAGCCCCAGAAAAUGGCCAUUUGGUUCCGAAACAAUGGAGACAUAUCACCACCAACAAAACGGAAGGAAUAUGAAGAGCCCCUUCCAUCUUCCUGGCGGGACAUUCAGGACAGCAGCCCAUCCAGCUGACACAGAAGCCUCCAAUCUAAUGAAAGCUCAACUAUGUUUAUAUAAUUAUAAUAUGAAUAAUAGGAAAGAGGUGGGCGGGUGAAAGCUUAACAAGUGAACCACUCCUAAGCCUCAGUGCCCUUGAAUUGAUGGAAGAGGCAGCAGUUUAACCUCAGGCUGGUACCUACCAGUCUGUGAGUGAACCUUUCAUUUCCUCUGAGUAGGAAAGAAAACCUAGAAGA